GGCAUGUCUGUGUGGGUGUCAGACUGGGUUCUGGGAGGACCUGGCCUUGGAACUGGGCCUUGAAGGACGGGCUGCACUAUGACAGGAAGAAUUCGGGAGGGUGGAGGAGAGACACCACAGAGCCAUCCUCCCAGGAUCUGAUCCAAGCCCUUGGACUGCAUUUAGUUGUCUCUUCAGUCUUUUCAGAUUUGUGACAAUUCCUGCCUUACCUAGUCUUUCACAACCUUGACACUUUGGAUGUGCUGAUCAGGAUCCUGACCCCCUUGUAAAGAUCUCACUCAUCAGCCCGCUACAGAUAUUUCUGGGAGCUCCCAGGUGGACUCUCACAUGUGCCCAAGAACAGGUGUGUACCUGCUGGACUUGGCUGCUCCUCUGAGCUCCAUGGAUGCCCAGAUGUUCUCAGGCUCUGAUGGACAGCUCCACAGAUGCCCAGGAGUUCUUGCAGUUUCCAGUUGCCUCAGGAUCCAGUGGACACCCUUACCUUUGUGCUACUCCACGUGGGUCCCACGCAUGACUCCACGGGGGCUGCACUGAAGACAAAUCUGAGUGAGCUCUCUCCAGAAAGUGCCUUGGCCUCCAAGCUUUCUCAUCCAUCAACUGUGUUCCAGUUCAUACUUCAGGACUCAGUUCAAGCAUCACUUUUUCCAGGAAGUCUUCCCUGAUCUUCGCAAACUAGAUGAAGAAAUGGAUGCUCAGAGAGGUUACCUGCAGGGAGUGGUGAACCUGACUUGCAGUCCAGUGCCAGGCAAAUGCCCCUGCACCUUGGUGUGGGGCCCCUUUGUGCCCUUCUUGGCCUCCUCCAGCCUCCUCGCAGCCCUCUCCCAGUCUCAGUCUCCUGCCGGACUACAGCAUCACUGACAUCUCCACCGGCUGGCUUUCCCCCCCGCCGCUUUAAAUAAACACAUCUGAUUAGGAAGAUGUGCCUUCCAAUGUUGGUAAUUUAUUCCCUUCUAUGCAAAUUGUCCAACUAAUUAAAAAGGAAAAAAAAAACCAACACAAUUUAGACCAGUGAGCUCUUGAGAGAGAAAAUGAAGAUGCUAUCAGCAAAUUGGUAGCAUGUAGAGGAUCCCGGGCCUCGAGUCGGACAGAUACUGGGUCUGAAUCCAGCUCCACUGCUUUCUGGCUGUGAGACCAUGGGCAGGUCAUAUCACCCUUCCAGCUUCACUUUCUCCAUCUGCAAAAUGAGGAUAAGAAUCCCAAGAUGCUUCCUUGCAAGGCUCUGAAAGGACCAACCCUGUGGAUACCUUGAUCUUCACAGGGUAGCUGUGAAGAUCAUUUGAGAAAGGAUCCAGGUCUUUUUGAAACUUUAAGAUGCAGUAGAAGUAGAAGAAUAAUAUUCCUUUACAUUUGAUUGCACAAAAACAAACAAGUGGCCCAGGUAUCCUCCUGAGGACACGAGAGUACGUGGUCACCCUGCUAGAAACUCAUGGAGUCGUGAUGUGACUCAGGGAUGUCUAAAUCUAUUAUGGGUUGAUUGUGCCCCCCACAAAAGAUGUGCUCCAGCCUUCAUCUCUCAGUUCCUCAAAAUGUGACUUUAUUUGGAGGUAGGGUCUUGACAGACAUACUCAAGUUCAAAUAAGGCCACUGGGAGGGCUCUGAUCCACUCUGACGGGUGUUCUUAUGAAACGGGGAAAUUGGGUGCAGAGACAAAGACACAGGGUAGAUGCCCCAUGAAGACAGAGGUUUGGGGUGAUGCAUCUACAAGCCAGGGCCCCAAAGAUUGCCAGGAAACCACCAGAAGCUGGGCAGGGCGGGGGAAGCGAGGCAUGGAACAGAUUCUUCCUUGCAGCCCUCAGGAAGAACCAAUCCUGCUGACACCUUCAUUUCAUACUUUCAGCCUCCAGAACUGCGAGACAAUUAGUUUCUGGCUGAAAUACCUUUUAAGCUACCAUUUGUGGUACUUUUUAUACAGACUCCAAACCCUGUACCCCUUCCUUCCUUCCUUCCUUCCCUCCUUCCUUCCUUCCCUCCUU
rnacentral:lncRNA from 10 species